CAGCCAUAGCAACAAUUUUUCAAGUCGCCUUGUUUCAUAAAUUCUUUUCUGUCUAUCGCCCCAAUGUUUCCUUUUGUUUUUUGUUGUUUCUUUUCGGAUCUGAGUGCCCUUUUCCUAUAAUUCCCGAAGCACGCGAAAUUUAAUAAUUCUUUUUGCAUACGACGCCAGCACUGCGAGUAAUACACUUAGAAAAACCCACCCAUCGUCCCGAAUCUGAGCAAGGCCGGAAGCAACGCGUGCGAUUGUGCUCUUUAUUGUAUUAAAAGCUAAUAUAGAAGUUCCUUAUAGCGGCCGCUGCCAGAUGCAUUGCUUGCCGGCUAUGCAGUAGCUACCUGCCAGACGCUGUGUCAGCAGUUUGACCGGGGCUGGUCAACGGACAAUCGGUCGUUGCGGGUUAACUUAGUUAACUUGCAUAUCCAUACGGCAAAAAAAAAAAAUAAUAUAAAAAAAAACAAGAGAAUGCUAUAGUCGAGUUCCCCGACUACCAGAUUACUCAGGUAGUGGAAGUGUCACCGAUAAAUUUCAACAUGUUCUGGAAAAGCCGUAUAAAUUGGGAAAAAAAAUUCAAAUAAAUUUUCAUCAAAUGAAAAAUAAGUUAAAAA